AAACACCCCAAAAACACACCCACACACACCCACACACACACACAACACACACACGCAGGGCUACACCUGGCUGAAAGAGAAGGGAGGCGCGGAUGAACAGAGGAAGCAGCAAGGGAGACUACGAGAACUUUGCAGCCUGGCGGAGGAACUAGGAUGCACCCUGACACAGCUCUCAGUGGCCUGGAGUCUCAAGAAUGAAAACCUCCACUGUGUUCUUAUUGGAGCUGCCUCGGUGGAACAGCUCCUGGAAAACCUUCACUCUUUGCAGGUGGCCAGCAGACUCAGACCGGAGCACUUGACGGAGGUGGAGCGCAUCUUGGACAAUAAGCCAGUUCGCCCCCCGAUGGUCUCAACGCUAGCCCAAAGAUGACAAGAGCUCACAGCGGCUGGAGCGGAGGAAAUAUUAGAAGACGAGGAGCCGGUGGAAACAAAAACGCCAUUUUGUGUUAUAAUGUAAGGAAAAAAGAAGAAGAAGAAGAAGAAGAAGAA